rnacentral:rRNA from 1 species
UACCAGCACCCCGAGUGGUCGGGACGAUUAUUGGGCCUAAAGCAUCCGUAGCCGGUCAUGCAAGUCUUCCGUUAAAUCCAGCCGCUCAACGGUUGGGCUGCGGAGGAUACUACGUGGCUAGGAGGCGGGAGAGGCAAGCGGUACUCAGUGGGUAGGGGGUAAAAUCCUUUGAUCCAUCGAAGACCACCAGUGGCGAAGGCGGCUUGCCAGAACGCGCUCGACGGUGAGGGAUGAAAGCUGGGGGAGCAACCGG